UGUUAACAAUUUCAUGCAUUUAUAUUGUUAAAGAUUGGCGUAGUUGAUGGAAUAAUCAAAUAGUGACACGUGGUGUCUAAUAUGCAUGUUAUGUUGAUGUAUAGUGACUAGUUUUUAACAGUAGAAAUUGAUAAGUUUUUUAACA
rfam:Gossypium raimondii Chr09_contig_1656, whole genome shotgun sequence.